rnacentral:lncRNA from 1 species
CUCUUGAGUAAAGUAUUUACUGGAGUCAAACAUUCAUGUUGUCAAUCAAAUCAAUUAAUGUCAUUGAUCAAAUUUUCAGUGUUAUUCCUGCUGAAUAUUUAAUUCAGUAAGAGUUCUGACCUCAAGAAAAAGUCAAAUUUAAGAGCAGUGGUCUGUUCACUCUAAAUAAAAAUUAAAUACUUAAUUUAAAGGAAUAACUUCUACACUACAUGCACAAUUUUGGACCAUAUUUCUAUUCCUCCACAAUGGAAAAAGACUUUGUUUGGAGAGAACGAUGAAGUAAUUUUUCCCUUAUGAAGGGUAGAAUUUUAAAGAAUCAUGUUAGCAGAGAGAAACAGAAUAUAUAAAAGCACAGAUGCCUGAAGGAAGAGGCCAAAGGAGACAACCAUUAAGUAAUUGGAUUAACCUCUAUUUGGCCCUUUUCAGAUGAGUGAGAUCUAUUUUGAUAAUGUUGUUUGCUUUCUUCCAGGUUUGCACACAAUGCAGCAGCCAUUCUCAAAGACUGAAAAAUAAAUUGAAGCAUGCAUCUCAGUAAAAGUCCCUGUAUGGGGCAGUCUGUUAUUGUUGUGGUCAGAAGGACAUGUGUUCCCUUUUGCCUCUGGACAGCCCUGCUGCCCACGGAGAGCUCUGCAGUCAGCAGCCUGCCUGACAGGGUCAUGACUUCCAGAGAAUGCUGCUACUGACAUCCAUCUACGCUUCUCUCAAGUGAAAGAGAUCUCAUUCCCAUCUAAAUAUGAAAAAUCUAGAAGGUACAGAGUAAUCUGCUGUCCUGAGCCUUGACAAUAGAGUCAAUGGGUCAUUUCAGCUGUUUCUACCUUUACUGUGAAUAGCAUUGCAAAACAAGUCUCCACCAGAAACUAAGGAACUGGAGGUUAAGCGUUGAUAGUUUGAUGCCAAGGAAGCAGCACUGAAUUGCUUGACUGUUGAAUGAUUUAUAGGGUAUGUAUGAGUUUUCAUGAGGAAAGUAGAAAGAGUAGUUUUUCUGGUAAUGUUGUAAGUAUAACACAUUUUGGGAGAGAAUAAAACAGAGCAAGGUCAAUACCCUCUCCCUUUC